rnacentral:rRNA from 1 species
AACCCAAAUUAAUUAGUACUCGGCGUAAAACGUGUAUUUAAUAAGCUAAAAUAGAAUUAAAGAUUAACCAAUAUGUGAAAAUUGAUCGUUACAAUUAAAAUCAUUAACGAAAGUAAUUCUAAUUUCCUCAUUACACGAUAGCUAAGAUCCAAACUGGGAUUAGAUACCCCACUAUGCUUAGCCUUAAACUUUAAUAAUUAAAUAACAAAAUUAUUUGCCAGAGAACUACUAGCCACAGCUUAAAACUCAAAGGACUUGGCGGUACUUUAUAUCCACCUAGAGGAGCCUGUUCUAUAAUCGAUAAACCCCGUUAUACCUUACCAUCCCUUGCUAAUU